rnacentral:tRNA from 1 species
UGGCUUAGUGGUUAAGAGCACUGACUUUUCUUCCAGAGGACCUGGGUUCAAUUCCCAG